UACGACUACAUAUCAGGCAUAUCAAUAAGCGGAGGAAAAGAAACUAACAAGGAUUCCCCUAGUAACGGCGAGUGAAGCGGGAAGAGCUCAAAUUUGAAAUCUUAAAGGGUUUCCCUUUACGAAUUGUAGUUUAAAGAAGUGUUUUCUGUUGGAGUUUCGGUAAAGGUUCUUUGGAAUAGGACAUCAUAGAGGGUGAGAAUCCCGUAUUUGACCGUUACUUUCCAGCUGUGUGAUACACUUUCAAAGAGUCGGAUUGUUUGGGAAUGCAGUCCAAGAUGGGUGGUAAAUUUCAUCUAAAGCUAAAUAUUGGCGAGAGACCGAUAGCGAACAAGUACCGUGAGGGAAAGAUGAAAAGAACUUUGAAAAGAGAGUUAAACAGUACGUGAAAUUGUCAAAAGGGAAGCGUUUGACACCAGUGUUGUUUAGUUGAAAAUCAAUUCAAUAGUUUUUGAUUCUAAGUAGUAUUGACUUCAUCAGCUUGCUGCUUUCUUCUCAGAAAUUAUUGAAUGCACUUUUCAGUUAACAAGUCAACAUCAAUUUCUUUUGUUGUAAAAGGGUAAGAGGAAGGUGGCUUGCGCUUCGGCUCAAGUGUUUAUAGCCCUUUAUCUCUGCAAUCGGAGAGAUUGAGGUCUGCAGCGUAGAUCCUUCGGGGUUAGAUACAUUGGUGCUAAGCUAUAGCCUUGUAUAGACAACUUGUUGACUAUGCUCAGUCAUGUAGCUUACUCGCUGAUGCUAUUUUACCUACGCUUAGGAUGUUGAGUAGCGACAUACGCAC
rnacentral:rRNA from 1 species